GAUGAACGCUGGCGGUAUGCUUAACACAUGCAAGUCGAACGGACUCUUCGGAGUUAGUGGCGGACGGGUGAGUAACGCGUGAGAAUCUGGCUUUGGGUUCGGGACAACCACUGGAAACGGUGGCUAAUACCGGAUGUGCCGAGAGGUAAAAGAGAAAUUGCCUGAAGAUGAGCUCGCGUCUGAUUAGCUAGUUGGUGAGGUAAAGGCUCACCAAGGCAGCGAUCAGUAGCUGGUCUGAGAGGAUGACCAGCCACACUGGGACUGAGACACGGCCCAGACUCCUACGGGAGGCAGCAGUGGGGAAUUUUCCGCAAUGGGCGAAAGCCUGACGGAGCAAUACCGCGUGAGGGAAGAAGGCUCUUGGGUUGUAAACCUCUUUUCUUAGGGAAGAACAAAAUGACGGGACCUAAGGAAUCAACAUCGGCUAACUCCGU
rnacentral:rRNA from 1 species